AUGUGUCUGGUGAGUGGGGCUCUGGCUCUGGUGUUUCCGGUGGCUACGAUAUGUUGUCCUGUCUUCCCUGGCUGUUUUCCAGAAAGUUGUCCUUGGGUGGUGAGUCUUGGAGCUGUUCUGAUACAUCACAGUCCAUCUUUGAUGAGCUCUAUGGGCAGGGCUCAGUCAGGAUUGUGUCCAUGAGCAGUGCUUGUUGUGGCUGCAUGAUGUUAUCAAGUCCUUGUGGGAUGUGUCAGCCACAUGAUGACUCACUGAUAUGAAGUCCUGUGGUCACUAAUACUUUGUCCAGGUGUGUGUGUGCCAUUCAGGUUAAGUGGCCAGUGGGAGAGCAGGUCUCUAAUCCACUAGCACUGAACUCAACAGUAGAAGCUGAAGCUGAUGCAUUAAUUUCUUGAGAACCAUGCUGUGCUGCCCUUUCAGGUAUUUUAAAUUGGAUGUGGAGUUUUUCAGGGUUUAAAAGGUUUUCUUACCCCCUAAUUGACAACACACAAAAAUGUUCUUGCCUUUGACAGAAAUAAACUCAAAAUAAUGAUUUUAUUUCCAGCUACAGAAUGCAUACUUUUCUCUCUCCGUGCUGAGUUUGUUUUCAAUGGUAGUAUUAUUGCCCAACACUGACUGCCACAGACCCAACAGCAGAAGAAGAAUGCCAACAGAUACAAUAGGUGCCUAUAAGCACCUUUGAGUUGAUUGGGUUGCAGGUACUGCCUCAAAACACAAAACUAGAGACGAUUAAGCCAAGAUGGAUAAGGGCUUUUGUCUCGCUUUGGGCUCUCCAGUGUACCUGCUGUCACUUUCAUUUGCACCAAAGCAGGUGAAACUGAGUCACAAUCACUUCUGUUUUCUAAGGCUGCCCACACACUAGAUGAUUUUAAGGCUAAUUUUAAGUCCGAUCUGUACCCCCGAAUGAUUGGGGGUGUGGCCCAAUUCGAGGCUUGUCACAUACAAUUUUUUAUUUGUUUCCAAAAAAAAAAAAAAAACUCUAUUGUGUGGUGUCAUUAUGAUUAUUUAACUGCUCGAUCGAGACGGAGCAUCCCUGAAAUCUGCCCUCUUGUGUUCUCUCUGUGUAUGUUUGUGUUUCAGAUGGGCGGUUCCUUGACAUAAUUUGCCAGAACCUGAACCAGAUUUAAGGACUGCCCCAAACACUCAAUCAGGGCCAUGAUUGUGCCAUAACGUGUGACUCUGUAGUCUUUGAGUGUCUUACCGGAGAGGUAGUGUCUUGGUGCUUAAGAUUAUGGAUCAUUCCAGACCUGAGGAUGACAGAUACAAAGUAUCUGAUGUUGAUACGACUGAACGUUUGUAUGAGAAUGUAAUAAUGAAUUAUUCCAGACCUCAUGAUGACAGACUUAAUGACUAUGAAGUAGA